AGACAUUUUGAGGAAAUGCAGAUGUGAGGCACGAUCCAAGGACUUUUAAACAAAUAUGAAGCUUAAUUCAAUUGUUUCCUGAGAGAUUGACUUCUUGCAAAAGCCAAAGAAAAUCUCUAACUAAUCCAAAAGAUACUUCAGCAUUAUUGGAAGAAAUCCUGGAUGGCUUUUAACUCCAUUAUCUUCAAAAAGAAAAUAUAACAAUAAGACGUUGAGCUCUGUUUGAAGGGAAUGUCCAUGAUGCCUGGCUUCUUGGUGAAUCC